rnacentral:tRNA from 1 species
GGCUCAAUGGUUAGAGCGCCGAACUCAUAAUUGGUUGGUUCCAGGUUCGAGUCCUGGGGUGCCCACCA